rnacentral:rRNA from 1 species
GCAUAACGCGAAGAACCUUACCCACCUUUGACAUGUACGGAAUCCUUUAGAGAUAGAGGAGUGCUCGAAAGAGAGCCGUAACACAGGUGCUGCAUGGCUGUCGUCAGCUCGUGUCGUGAGAUGUUGGGUUAAGUCCCGCAACGAGCGCAACCCUUGCCAUUAGUUGCUACGAAAGGGCACUCUAAUGGGACUGCCGGUGACAAACCGGAGGAAGGUGGGGAUGACGUCAAGUCCUCAUGGCCCCUUAUAGGUGGGGCUACACACGUCAUACAAUGGCUGGUACAAAGGGUUGCCAACCCGCGAGGGGGAGCUAAUCCCAUAAAGACCAGUCGUAGUCCGGAUCGCAGUCUGCAACUCGACUGCGUGAAGUCGGAAUCGCUAGUAACCGUGGAUCAGAAUGUCACGGUG